UCGCUACGCCACGAGCAACACUUGAUUCUAUUAGAAAAAGCUUUUUGAAAUGUCUCGCGUGACGUCUGGUAUAUUAACUGAAAAAAAUUGCUUUAUAGUGCCACACCUUAAAGCUGACGUUUUCAGAAGAGAACCUUGUUGUUUUAAGAUCUAAUUUUGUCCAAAUUUUGUAUGACUGAUAUAAUACUUAUUUCAUUAUUGCUCUGUGUAUGUGUGACCUUCAUCAUUUGAGGUUAUGUUUGAUUUCACCUCUGAAUAUUUCCUCUUAUAGGUCCAUCAUCCUUGCACACACUCAAAAGCAUUGAUAAAUGCUGAAUUUAAAAGAAUCACUACUGUCUAAUGUUCCUGUGUCACCUGGACCUCCAAUCCAAAAACCUGAUGAAACUCUUCUAUCAGAAAGGAGGACAGCUAGCAAAAAGACUUGGAACAAUCAAUGAUCAAAUGACAGAAGGCAUGGAUGAAGUCAGCAUCAGUGAGGUCAUUUGAAGACACCACUGUUGGGAUUUGUGCUCUCAAACAACAUGCUUCUUGUGAUGAAGAAGAGGAUCUUUGUAUAGUCCUGGAAGGCAUGAAGGUGUUGCAACAUCGUGCCAUGUUGUUUGAGCUGAUGUAUGCCUUAAACCUGAGCUAUCCUGAUCUCCGCUUUAUUUUUGAGGAAAUCCAAAAGAUUUUAAUGGAACUGCAUUGAGAGUAACUUUAACGAACAGUUUCUUUCAGUGAAAGGAUCAGAAAGACCGUGCUGCUCAUUUUCGACUUUGUUUAUCUGUUUUAAGUGUUUUCUCUUAUUAAAACAUUAACAGUUUGCUGCUCAGAGUUGAUUUUGGAAAUGGUUGUUCUAUUUUGUUUUUGUUGAAUCUUUGAUUAACAGUUUAUACAAAUACUGUAGCUCUGACUUUCUGAAGGAUUGAUAUUUUCCAGUUUGUAAAUCCAUUUAAAAAAUAAUAGUACUUACUGUUUUGCAUUUCUCUUUGGAAUACAGUGUUUGUGUUUUAGCACUUCUAAAUCUACUGUGAUAGUAACUAUUUUAAACAUUUGGGUCAGUUUCACAGAUGGGGCUUUUCCUAGUCCCAGACUUUUGCAAUGCCUUAAUUUGAAAACAUAUUGCACUGACAUAUCUUGACAUAUAUCAGUGCCAUUGUUUUGUCGCAAGAUGUACUCCAGUGUUGUUUUUGUAAGGUAGGUUUGUUUGUAAACUUUUUUUGUAAAAAAUAUCCUAAUAUAACUAGGGCCUAGUCAUGGAUUAAUCUACAACCUGUCUGGGAAAUUGCCCCUUUAUAUGUACUGCAUGUGCUGAUUGUUGUAAUAGUUAUUGACUGUUAAUGAAUUAAUGUGUAAUGAUGUAAUUGAAUUGAUGAUCUGAAAGCAGUGGUUUGCCUCAAUAUCACUAAACAUUUGUUCAAAACUCUUUGCUUUUUAUGCCAAUGCAAAUGUAUUUUGUAUUUAAAAAAAUAAAAAUAACAUUU